rnacentral:rRNA from 1 species
GACGUGACUUCAGAGUUUGAUCCUGGCUCAGGAUGAGCGCUGGCGGCGUGCCUAACACAUGCAAGUCGAGCGAGAUGUUUAUGACGGAUUCUUCGGAUGACGGAUUAAACGGAAAGCGGCGGACGGGUGAGUAACGCGUAGGCAACCUGCCCUUCACAGAGGGAUAGCCUCGGGAAACCGGGAUUAAAACCUCAUAAUGCCACUGAAAGACAUCUUCCGGUGGCCAAAGAUUUAUCGGUGAAGGAUGGGCCUGCGUCUGAUUAGUUAGUUGGUGAGGUAACGGCUCACCAAGGCGACGAUCAGUAGCCGACCUGAGAGGGUGAUCGGCCACAUUGGAACUGAGACACGGUCCAA